CUCUCGAGCUCCCGAAGAUAGGCAAUCGGCUGCUUUUUGACACUCGGGGAAACAAGGAUGGAGGAACUGGCUACCAAGCUACUCGCAGAAGGCAUUCAGAAGAAAGUGAUCAGUCCUGGCAAAGGAGAUCUGUCAACGUUUCCUGAUGGGACCAAGGUGAUAUUUCACUACCGCUCCAGCUUGUGCGAUGGCACAGUGUUGGAUGACUCCAGGACCAUGGGGGGCCGGAGCAAGCCCAUGGAACUCAUCUUGGGGAAGAAGUUCAAGCUGGCCGUGUGGGAGCGAGUCAUUGCCACCAUGAGGGAGGGAGAGGUGGCAGAUUUCACAUGUGACGUCAAGCAUACAGCCCUAUACCCGCUGGUGUCCCAGUCCCUGAGGAACAUCAGUGCAGGGAAGGAUCCCCUGGAGGGCCAGAGACACUGCUGUGGCAUUGCUCAGAUCCACUCACACCACUCCCUGGGCCACUGUGACCUCGACAAGCUCCAGGCCAACCCUCAGCCCCUGGUCUUCACCCUGGAGCUCAUGGAGGUUUUGACACCCGGCUCGUUCAGACUGGACAUCUGGGCGAUGACGGACGACGAGAAGCUGGAGGUGGUGCCUCAGAUCCACGUGGAGGGUAACGCCCUGUACAAGAAGGGCGAUGUGAAGGAGGCGGCUGAGAAGUACCACAACGCCAUCGCCUGUCUGAAGAACCUGCAGAUGAAGGAGCGUCCAGGCGAUGAGGGGUGGAUCAAGCUGGACCUCAUGAUCACGCCCCUGAUGCUGAACUACUGCCAGUGUCAGCUGAUCCAGGGUCAGUACUACGAGGUGCUGGACCACUGCUCCUCCAUCCUCUCCAAAUACGAGGGUGAACAACGUGAAGGCCUACUUCAAGCGGGCCAAGGCCCACGCGGCGGUGUGGAACGAGAUGGAGGCGCGGGCCGACUUUGCCAAGGUGGUGGAGCUGGACCCGUCGCUGGGGCCCUCGGUGGCUAAGGAGCUGAGGGCCAUGGAGGAGAGGAUCCGCUCCAAGGAGAAGGAGGAGAAGGGCCGCUACAAGAGUCUGUUCAGCUCCGACAGCAACGCCCCGGCCACCGCUACCACGGGUUGAAUUAAGAAGAUGUUUACUUUUGUUAUAAAGAAGAGAGGAGGAGCAUUUGUGGACACAUUGCUGACACGUUUAGUUUUAUCCAUACAUCAAAGCCAUAUUCAGUUUCCCCAUGAAACAUCACUUUCGGGAUGCCCUCUCAAAACCCACACGCCACUCGCAUGGCACAUAUUCUCCAUCUAGAUUCACUUAUCAUUUGUAGAAUGACAUUACACACCCACACAAAUGUACCCUCCACACCAACAGACUUUCAAUGUUCAGCUUUCCCCCUACUGCAAACAGCCAUUUACAUCACACACGCUGCGAAAGCACAGGAAUACGCAGGAGAUCCUCCACUUCUGGCAGUAUGACUGGGACAUCAACUUCGGAGACAAUCAUAAGAUGUAUGAUAUGUAUGGACACUAGCGCAGUCUCCACCAUAUCCCUCUUGUUCACCCCUUUCUCAUUUACCCCUAUUAAUGUUCUAUAUAUGACUAUCCAAGUUAUUUACUCUUAUCUUCACUUGUAUCUAUUAUUGUUAUGUUAUUAUUAUUACUGUAUUACAUUUCAUUUGCUAAUCUGUGUUUUUGGAGUCCUGUAUAUUUUAAGCUAAGACGUUUUGUAAUGGACUGUUUUGCCCUCAACUCAACCAUCACCCCAACGCCACUUGCCUUUUGGUCAGUCGAACAGAGCUAAUGAUUUGCCCAAGUCAUUGGCAUCAGUGAGUGUAGUUGGGAUAGUGGCCAUCAUUUUGGCCCCUAGCUCAUUCCUGUGUUCAACGAACUGAAAUGACUGUAUAGACGAAGGCAAUAUAGAUAGGUGAAAGCGGAGGCUUGAUUUUAGACUACUCCUUCCAGGCCUCCAAUAGUCACUGAAGGGUUAGAGAUGGUAAUGAAACCGGGGCGAUGUCUCACUGGCAAGCAUCAACUAGAAGGUCGAGAGCCUCUUCUGUAGGGCUCAUUUUCAUAGGCUUGCACAUCAAACGAAUGACACAGCUCGUCAUACCAGCAUUUAACUAAUUUGUCCCUUGUAUUUGUGAAAAUUGCAUCUAAGGGUCACCAAGACUUGACUCAAGUGUCAGUUGUAUGAAAUGGGUGUUCUUACCUAGCCUGGUUGAAGCAGAGUAAAUGCUACACUCAACAUUGUUUUCAUUGGUGAGCAGUGUUCAAUCUGAUUUAACCAGGCUACUUAUCAUGCCUUCUAUAUAAUGUAUAUGCCGGGACAGCCAGGAGUGCUUUUUGCAGCCGUCUUUUGCUGUUAUGUUAUGACUGAGAAGCCAAAUAAAGAGGUGCAACUCUUA